GAUGAACGCUGGCGGCGUGCUUAACACAUGCAAGUCGAACGGAAAGGCCCAAGCUUGCUUGGGUACUCGAGUGGCGAGCGGGUGAGUAACACGUGGGUGAUCUGCCCUGCACUUCGGGAUAAGCCUGGGAAACUGGGUCUAAUACCGGAUAGGACCGCAUUUUGGAUGGUGUGGUGGAAAGUUUUUCGGUGUGGGAUGAGCUCGCGGCCUAUCAGCUUGUUGGUGGGGUAAUGGCCUACCAAGGCGUCGACGGGUAGCCGGCCUGAGAGGGUGUACGGCCACAUUGGGACUGAGAUACGGCCCAGACUCCUACGGGAGGCAGCAGUGGGGAAUAUUGCACAAUGGGCGCAAGCCUGAUGCAGCGACGCCGCGUGGGGGAUGACGGCCUUCGGGUUGUAAACUCCUUUCGCUAGGGACGAAGCGUUAUGUGACGGUACCUGGAGAAGAAGCACCGGCUAACUACGUG
rnacentral:rRNA from 1 species